UGGGGGAUAUUGCGCAAUGGGCGAAAGCCUGACGCAGCGACGCCGCGUGGGUGAUGAAGGCCUUCGGGUCGUAAAGCCCUGUCGAGGGGGACGAACCGGUCACGACCUAACACGUCGUGGCCCUGACGGUACCCCUAAAGGAAGCACCGGCUAACUCCGUGCCAGCAGCCGCGGUAAUACGGAGGGUGCGAGCGUUGUUCGGAAUCACUGGGCGUAAAGCGCGUGUAGGCGGCCCGUUAAGUCUGAUGUGAAAGCCCGGGGCUUACCCCCGGAAGUGCAUUGGAAACUGGCAGGCUCGAGUCCCGGAGAGGAGGGUGGAAUUCCUGGUGUAGCGGUGAAAUGCGUAGAUAUCAGGAGGAACACCGGUGGCGAAGGCGGCCCUCUGGACGGUGACUGACGCUGAGACGCGAAAGCGUGGGGAGCAAACAGGAUUAGAUACCCCCGUAGUCC
rnacentral:rRNA from 1 species